CCUACGAGUGGCUGCAGUGGGGAAUAUUGCACAAUGGGGGAAACCCUGAUGCAGCGACGCCGCGUGAGUGAAGAAGUAUUUCGGUAUGUAAAGCUCUAUCAGCAGGGAAGAAAUAAAGUCCUUCGGACUUUGGACGGUACCUGACUAAGAAGCCCCGGCUAACUACAUGCCAGCAGCCGCGGUAAUACGUAGGGGGCAAGCGUUAUCCGGAUUUACUGGGUGUAAAGGGAGCGUAGACGGCAGCGCAAGUCUGGAGUGAAAUCCCAUGGCUUAACCAUGGAACUGCUUUGGAAACUGUGCAGCUGGAGUGCAGGAGAGGUAAGCGGAAUUCCUAGUGUAGCGGUGAAAUGCGUAGAUAUUAGGAGGAACACCAGUGGCGAAGGCGGCUUACUGGACUGUAACUGACGUUGAGGCUCGAAAGCGUGGGGAGCAAACAGGAUUAGAUACCCCUGUAGUC
rnacentral:rRNA from 1 species